rnacentral:tRNA from 1 species
CGGGACGUGGCGCAGCUUGGUAGCGCACGUGAUCGGGGGUCAAGGGGUCGCAGGUUCAAAUCCUGUCGUCCCGA